AAGACGAAGGGAGGGAAAAAGGAAAGGAAAAAAUAAGCAGCAAAAUUCACGUUAAAGGUUGCAUCUUGUUUGGAUACGAUACCUAGCACGGGUGCACUGACACUCCUGAUGCGAUCUUCCAGUCCCAAGAAGCAGAAAGUCAGAUGAAGAAGCAAAGAAGAUAUAAAUCACCAGCAAAAUAAAGUUACAGAAGAGCAAAGUGUGAACACAGGCUAAAAACCAGGAAGGCAACAUCUACCAGCUAGAGACAAAAACACACAAGCCUGCUCAAGCAAUACUGUCGCUCCCUCUACUCUUACAGCACUCCAACACGAUACAAAGAUAAUAUUCGUAUCAGUUCCAACCUGCUUUGAAACAAGUAUAUAUGAUGGAGACAGAACUGCGUUGACAUUAGAACAGACCCAUUUGUUUCACAGAGCACUAUGAAAAACAGAUGUGGAAGGCAUGAAGUCAGAGUGAGGAAGGAGUCAACAGCGUAAAAAAACAGUUUAAAAUGUUGUACAACUAAAUGUUGGUAUAAAACGUAAUCAAUCAUUUUCAAGAACUGUAAUUGUUUUCUCUGGUAGUGAUUCUGAGAAAUAGGCACUUUGUAAUGAUUACAUUUUAAAACACGUAAAGGAACUUCGCAAACAUUUCUCUUUCAAAAAAGAACACUUAACAACACAAGGCAUGCUCAGACACAGCCAAAUCAAAAACUGAAGCCAGCAGACAGUGGGCAAGCAAUUGGAAAAUGUUUAAGAAGCCGUUACAAAUCACAGUGCUGCUCAUUUCAGCUCAUAACAUAGAUUUCAAAAAGAGCUGGUGUUGAGGUAUUGUUAAGCACACAAAGCAAACUUUACUUAGAAUAUAUUUAUAAGAAUACCAAGUAUGGAAACAGAUUUUUAUUCAGACUGAUUUUUAUUUUUAUUUUAAUUUACUGCUCUGAUUAAAAACAAACAAACUCAAAUGCUUUCCUUUGAGGAAAAAGGCUUUCAACUGAAGCCAUCUUCUCAGGUAUUAUAAAAAGAGGUAAAGGUGAAGUGUUGGCUCUGUUAACCUUGACAAUGUCAGUUUGAAGUCCCCAGCCAUCUGAUUAGUGAGCUUUUGAUUUAUUUUCUGAAGUGAAAUCUUACUGAACAGGGUAAGUAGCUGUCUGCUUGCAGCAAGCAAUAAAAGCAAUUUCUCAUGUAUAUUAGAAUUAGACUGUCAAAUCUAAACAGACAUUGAAUUACUGCUGCAGAAUGCAUUUGAGUUACAAUUUGUGUGGAAGGAACAGUAAGAAAAAGCCACAAGUGAAUUGCAAG